CUCGUCUGUCCCUCUGUCUAAAGUAAAAUUAAUUGUGUGAUUGUCUAUUUGUCUAUUAUGUCAUUCACUUCUUGUCAAUUUGUUCGCGCCAAGUUUAUUGGAUUUUAGUUAGGUUUAAAACGCAGAACCCCGGCACGUGGCCGGCACUUUGGCGUGACUGGUAUUCUGAUCUUGUACUUUGUACUUGUCUUGUUUCAUGUGAUUUGUUAAUGGGCUGUUAGUUCAUUAUUAUACGAAACUUUUCACACGAAGGUAAGUACCACUUAUUUAUACAUUGUAUUUAUAGUUGUACCUAGCUUUUUUAUUGUGGUCUGGGAUAAAUAGUGGAACGUUUAUAGGUAACAGUGUGUGGUCUAUUCAGAACCAUGUGCCGAGACAAUAUAUGUAUGUAGGUGGUACAGUUAGACGAACUUGUGGGCAGUACCCUGGCAGUGAUUAACUAGAACUGGCUCACACCACUCAAGCAAGAGGUACUGUGACCUCCGAUUAAGGGGAGGAAAGCGUUUAGAAAAGUUGUUACUGACGGAGUCCAAGCUGACAGCAAUUGGAGGCCUUUUGGAAUAAAAAGAGUUUUCUUUCGAACGGGUUCGUAAGAAUAGUAGUUUUUUAUCUGUCCUCCGGUUUGUAUUAUUAUUUUUGUGGCUGGUCAGAACUACUUUUAAUUAAUUAAAGUUGUAACCAUCUUUGCUUGCUUCCUGUUAAUAAAAUACGAUUUACGAUUC